AUGCUACAAAUACCUUGGAGCCAAAACAGCCACGUUCCUCAAAAUCCGGUCAUUCUGCUGUAUAAAGAGCAUGUCCUCUGCAGUCUCUUCAGUGGACCUUCAGUGACCAGUCUCCUCAGCAUGAAAGAAACAUUCAACACCGGCCUGUUGUUUGCAGCAUCCGAACCUGAGGCAUACUCUUCCAAGAUCAAGUUAAGGUCGCUUGGAAGCUUGCUCAAAUAUUGGAGCCCUGAAGGUUUUGCGUGUAGUCUCCCGGGAGGGCUGCGUGCAACUGCUCCAAGCAAACUGCGACAGCUAAUGCCAAUCAACAAUAUGUUCAGGAUACGGUCCUUUCGUGUUCUUUCCUCACUAAAAUCAUGGCUGAUCUUGCUGCUUGGAUUCUCUUUGCACAUCCCACUUAUUGAAUCCAAAAUCAAGCACAGGGGGAUAUUCUCCAAGUCAUCGAAUUUUCUGUCUGCUGAAGUCUGCCUGCCGACAUCUGCCUGCCAAGCAACACUCCUUACAAGGAUAUUGCCACCUGAAAAGCGCUAUCUUUUCCAUGAUCUUUGCAGAUCCUGCUGGAGAUACUAUGGCUGAGCAAACUUUGUAUUAAAGAUGAAGAGUAAAAGCUAACUAAAAGAUUGUUCCAGAAUGCUUCUGAUUUUUUUGUUUACCUAGAUUAAAUUUUCAAGAAUUGUGUGUGAUUUUUACUAAAAAAAAAAAAAAGUGACCAUAUCAAUUUGGGGAAACGGCUUUCCUAAUCUGAACUAAAGUAAUGUUUUCCUCAUGAAAAUAAUCACAGACUUCAAAAGUAGACUGCAAAGUUUUGAAUUGCUGCCCCCGCUAAUGAGUUUCAUGUGAAACCCAAACUAUAGGCCUAAAGAGCAGCCCUCAGGAGAGAGCCCUUUUGUCUUGUAAGUGUUUGUUGAAGUGUUGGAAAUACACAUUUUGAUUGAUUCAUUGUAGCGCUUUGCUACUAGCAUGCCAUUUGGCUAUGCAAAGAGUCAGAGCCCAGUGUUUUCCUGUGGCUGAAAAGAAACUUUGGUUCUUCUUGAAUGAAAUACCUUGUGCUGUUGAAUGGAAAAAGUAGGGUGUUACUUUUUUUUCCUUCAGAUAAUUAUUUAUAUCUGACUCAUUACUUUCCAUACAAUUCAGAUGCUGAACCCGUGGUAUAUUUCUAAUUAACCCACGAAAAAAUAAAGAUUCCGUGUUUUUAAAUCCA
rnacentral:lncRNA from 1 species